GUGAAUCGGUUGAGGAAGCAUUCAUCUAAUGAUGUUCGUAGAUUGGUGAAACAUCUUGUCAGAAAAUGGAAGGAGAUUGUGGAUGAAUGGGUCAGGUUGAAUCAGCCUGGGGAGCAAACAGCUACACUCUUAGCUGAUGGUGACUCACCCCAGCAAAAAGCUCCUCAAAAUGGUUAUCAUCAGGUUCCUGAUUUUGUAUACUCUCCGAAUCCACACAAUGGAGGUUCUGGGUCCGAUAGAAAUAACUCAGAACCGGAACCGAAGGGAAAAUCUGUUCCGAGAAGAGAUGCUCCGCCUAAACCAGCACAACCAGCUCCAACGUCGUCUUUAACUCCUCAAAAUAGACAGAAAGAACAACAGAAAGAAGCAAAUUUUGAUUCCCAAAAGCUUGCAUCAGCUAGAAAAAGGCUUCAAGAGAAUUAUAAAGAAGCUGAAAAUGCUAAAAGGCAAAGAACAAUCCAAGUCAU
rnacentral:misc_RNA from 1 species